rnacentral:misc_RNA from 1 species
ACCCAACUCACCAUCUUCAUCAUCAUCCUCCAAUUCCUCGCUAUCGAUCCCAAAUCCCAAACCCAAUACACCAUCAUCACCAUAAAGCUCAAUCAUGUCAUUAUUGGGGACAUUUUCUUUGAUAUCCAAUUCAACAUCCCCAAACACUUCCUUGUACUUCAAGAAAUUUUCCCAGUGAUUCUCUCCAUCUUUCCAGCUGAACUCGUUGCUUGAUGUUCUGAUUUUCUGCUUGACACCCAGAUACUGAUGUCGCAUGUUUUGAACUUUGAUGGAUACGUCACGCCAUGACCAUUUGAAAGGGAAGUGAAGUGGGUCUUGCAGGUGAUGUACGGUGUUGACAUGGUCAGCAAUGGGUUUGAAUUUUUUCUCUCUGGUUUUGAGCUUCGCUAAGAUGCCGGAGUUAAGGAGGUCUGAGUACUUAGUGAGCAGAGUUUGUUCUUCCACUUCAGACCAUUUCUUGCGCUUCAUCUUCUUCUUGAUCCUCACUUUUCGGGUUCAGAGUUAGGGUUACGCUUACAUUCGGG